rnacentral:lncRNA from 1 species
UUCGAUUUCUUCAUCAUCUUCAUUAUUGUCCAGGCAACGCACGGAACAUGCUACAUAAGAGUUUUUACAGUAUAUUACUAUUCAAGAAAAUUUCAAAGAAAGCCAUUCAGACUUGUAACAAAAUACAGACACAUCCCUUCAAGUUUAAAAAAUCACAACAUUCUCUCCUAAUAACAUAUAAAAUGCAUCUAAUAAGCUUAAGCCGUAGCAAGGUUGCAUAGAUAAAUCGAGCAUCCUUGAGAAUCAAGCAGCAAAUCUAUUUAUCAGUCACCUACAGCUUAACAUCACAUAUCUAUACUGGGCAUCAAAAUUAGAGUUCCAAUGUGAUUUAAGACUACAUUCAAGUUUGUUAUACUUACCAAUUAGAAAGUUUUUAAAGGAGCCGCAGUCUGUCAUCAGCAAGAAAUUAUAGCAAUCAACAGGAAAGUAAAAGCAGCAUCAACAGCUACUGCAUCAUCAUAAAACAG